UAGGCAACUCCCUGGUCCGCUUCUCCACACCUCACUUCCGCAACUCCGUGGAGGGAAAUUUACUUUUUACUUAUAUAGUACUUUUUUCCAGGCACUGUUUUAAGCGCUUUGCAAUUAUUAACUUGAUUCGUCUUUGAAACAACCCUAACUGUGCCAACAAGUCAAAUGAGAAGCAGAUGAGUAAUAAGCCGUGGAGAGCAUGAAGAUUCCUCUGAGAAAGAGCUGCCUCCAGAAGGAAGGCAUCACACAGAAAGGCCGGAGUGUGGGGGAAGAAGCAUGCAUCCAGACAACCAAGCGUGCUGGAAAACCUGACUGGUGGGGAUGAUGUCUGCUAAAUGCUCCUGCUCAGAACGGGGUGAAGAUUCAUACAUUCCUCUUGGGAAAAAUGCACAGUGUCUUAACUCAGGCUGCCAUAAAAAGUUACCAUAGCA